rnacentral:rRNA from 1 species
GAUGAACGCUAGCUACAGGCUUAACACAUGCAAGUCGAGGGGAAACGGCAUUUAGUGCUUGCACCGAAUGGACGUCGACCGGCGCACGGGUGAGUAACGCGUAUCCAACCUACCCAUUACUGUGGGAUAACCUGCCGAAAGGCAGACCAAUACCGCAUAGUCUUCGAUGACGGCAUCAGAUUUGAAGUAAAGAUUUAUCGGUAAUGGAUGGGGAUGCGUCUGAUUAGCUUGUUGGCGGGGUAACGGCCCACCAAGGCAACGAUCAGUAGGGGUUCUGAGAGGAAGGUCCCCCACAUUGGAACUGAGACACGGUCCAAACUCCUACGGGAGGCAGCAGUGAGGAAUAUUGGUCAAUGGGCGCGAGCCUGAACCAGCCAAGUAGCGUGCAGGAUGACGGCCCUAUGGGUUGUAAACUGCUUUUGUAUGGGGAUAAAGUCAAUCACGUGUGAUUGUUUGCAGGUACCAUACGAAUAAGGACCGGCUAAUUCCGUGCCAGCAGCCGCGGUAAUACGGAAGGUCCGGGCGUUAUCCGGAUUUAUUGGGUUUAAAGGGAGCGUAGGCCGGAGAUUAAGUGUGUUGUGAGAUGUAGACGCUCAACGUCUGACUUGCAGCGCAUACUGGUUUCCUUGAGUACGCACAACGUUGGCGGAAUUCGUCGUGUAGCGGUGAAAUGCUUAGAUAUGACGAAGAACUCCGAUUGCGAAGGCAGCUGACGGGAGCGCAACUGACGCUUAAGCUCGAAGGUGCGGGUAUCGAACAGG